UGAGUACGAGAUGCUACGGCAUCGAAGCAGUCUAUGUCAUACUUCCAAGAAAAGCUUGCACUGUCAGAAACAGAUAAUGCCUGUACCAUAACCGACACAGGUGGGUAGGUAGAGUAUACUAAGGGGCGCGAGAUAACUCUCUCUAAGGAACUCGGCAAAAUGACUCCGUAACUUCGGGAGAAGGAGUGCCUUAUUUUUAAGGUUGCAAUAACAAGAUCCAAGCAACUGUUUACCAAAAACACAGGUCUCCGCUAAGUCGUAAGACGAUGUAUGGGGGCUGACGCCUGCCCAGUGCCAGGAGGUUAAAGAAGUCGGUUAGCAUUCGCGAAGCUGGUAACUGAAGCCCUGGUGAACGGCGGCCGUAACGAUAACGGUCCUAAGGUAGCGAAAUUCCUUGUCGGGUAAGUUCCGACCCGCACGAAAGGCGUAAUGAUUUGGAUACUGUCUCGGAGAGGGGCUCGGUGAAAUAGACUUGUCUGUGAAGAUGCGGACUACCUGCACCUGGACAGAAAGACCCUAUGAAGCUUUACUGUAACUUGAAAUUGAAAUUGGACUUUAUUUCGCACUAUAGGUGGGAGGCGUUGAAAAUAUUCUUGCGGGAAUAUUGGAGCCAUCAGUGAGAUACCACUCUUGUAAUGUUAGAUUUCUAACUUUAUAUCAUUAUCUGGUUAAAGAACAGUUUCAGGCGGGCAGUUUGACUGGGGCGGUCGCCUCCCAAAUGGUAACGGAGGCGCACAAAGGUUUCCUCUGAACGGGUAGAAAUCGUAUCUAGAGUGUAAAGGCAUAAGGAAGCUUGACUGUGAGACCUACAAGUCGAGCAGGGACGAAAGUAGGUCUUAGUGAUCUGACGGUGCUGAGUGGAAAGGCCGUCACUCAACGGAUAAAAGUUACUCUAGGAUAACAGGCUGAUCUCCCCCAAGAGUUCACAUCGACGGGGAGGUUUGGCACCUCGAUGUCGGCUCAUCGCAUCCUGGGGCGGUAGUACGUCCCAAGGGUUGGGCUGUUCGCCCAUGAAAGCGGUACGCGAGCUGGGUUCAGAACGUCGUGAGACAGUUCGGUCCAUAUCCGGUGUAGGCGUUAGAAUAUUGAGAGGAGCCUUCUUUAGUACGAGAGGACCGAGAAGGACAUACCUCUGGUGUACCAGUUAUCGUGCCAACGGUAAACGCUGGGUAGCUAUGUAUGGAGUGGAUAACCGCUGAAAGCAUCUAAGUGGGAAGCCCACCUCAAGAUAAG
rnacentral:rRNA from 1 species